UACGGGGUAGGCAGCAGUGAGGAAUAUUGGUCAAUGGGCGAGAGCCUGAACCAGCCAAGUAGCGUGCAGGAUGACUGCCCUAUGGGUUGUAAACUGCUUUUAUAGGGGAAUAAAGUGAGGCACGUGUGCCUUUUUGUAUGUACCCUAUGAAUAAGGACCGGCUAAUUCCGUGCCAGCAGCCGCGGUAAU
rnacentral:rRNA from 1 species